GGACCACCUAGAACUGCCUCCUUCCAAGCGACACUGGGGCUGGCUCCCCAUCUGAGCCGUCUGGAGACCCUGUGGCUGGCAGGCGACGCCGUCCCCCCGCCCACACAGCCUGGGGGACUUAAAACAACAGACAUUUAUUCGAUCGCAGUUCUGGAGGCCAGAGAGGGAUGGGUCAGGGUACCCUGAUGCCCCCGCCGGGGCCAAGGGGGAGCAGGGCUGUGGAGAGCAUGACCCCCUUGUUAAACCACGUCUGCCUUUAUGCCUCGAUACACCACACAGAGAGAUGACGGGAGAUACCACCAAGAUGAGAUGCCGACCCGGGAGAGGCUCUGCAGGUCCCCUGGUGCCCACGUCUACCUGGCUUGUCCCCACAGGUGGGUUUUCUGAGACAAGGGGGCUUUUGGACACAGGUCUGUCCCCAGAGCCAGCCAGCAGCUCCAGAGAAGAGACAGCAGGUGCCCAGGACGAUGCGGCUUAGUUGCCAGGUUGCCACGAAACAUCCAAUAUUUGAAAGUGUUCUAUGGACCUCAAAGGGCAAGAGACACCUUAAAAUGUUUGCUGGAUGGCUGUAGGAGGGUAGAGCCCUGGUGGGCAGAGGCUCUGCUGCUCAUGUUCAUGGAGUCCCACGUCCACCAGGCCCUUUGAAUCUCGAGUUUCUGGCUUCAGAUGCCCCCAGGUUUCCAGAAGUCAAGAUUUCUAACAAAUGGACCCAAACCCCAAGCCAGCACCUGGAAGUGGCAGCAACACGGCUGUGUGGACCCCGGUGCUGGGAACCUUCUGGAGGCAGCUGGACACAGGGGCUGCCAGUGUGGAGAGGGACGCUGCUCAUUUUGACAUUUC
rnacentral:lncRNA from 1 species